UUAAGCGACUAAGCGUACACGGUGGAUGCCCUGGCAGUCAGAGGCGAUGAAGGACGUGCUAAUCUGCAAUAAGCGUCGGUGAGGUGAUAUGAACCGUUAUAACCGGCGAUUUCCGAAUGGGGAAACCCAGUGUGUUUCGACACACUAUCAUUAACUGAAUCCAUAGGUUAAUGAGGCGAACCGGGGGAACUGAAACAUCUAAGUACCCCGAGGAAAAGAAAUCAACCGAGAUUCCCCCAGUAGCGGCGAGCGAACGGGGAGGAGCCCAGAGCCUGAAUCAGUGUGUGUGUUAGUGGAAGCGUCUGGAAAGGCGUGCGAUACAGGGUGACAGCCCCGUACACAAAAAUGCACAUAUUGUGAGCUCGAUGAGUAGGGCGGGACACGUGGUAUCCUGUCUGAAUAUGGGGGGACCAUCCUCCAAGGCUAAAUACUCCUGACUGACCGAUAGUGAACCAGUACCGUGAGGGAAAGGCGAAAAGAACCCCGGCGAGGGGAGUGAAAAAGAACCUGAAACCGUGUACGUACAAGCAGUGGGAGCCUCUUAAUGGGGUGACUGCGUACCUUUUGUAUAAUGGGUCAGCGACUUAUAUUCUGUAGCAAGGUUAACCGAAUAGGGGAGCCGAAGGGAAACCGAGUCUUAACUGGGCGUUAAGUUGCAGGGUAUAGACCCGAAACCCGGUGAUCUAGCCAUGGGCAGGUUGAAGGUUGGGUAACACUAACUGGAGGACCGAACCGACUAAUGUUGAAAAAUUAGCGGAUGACUUGUGGCUGGGGGUGAAAGGCCAAUCAAACCGGGAGAUAGCUGGUUCUCCCCGAAAGCUAUUUAGGUAGCGCCUCGUGAAUUCAUCUCCGGGGGUAGAGCACUGUUUCGGCAAGGGGGUCAUCCCGACUUACCAACCCGAUGCAAACUGCGAAUACCGGAGAAUGUUAUCACGGGAGACACACGGCGGGUGCUAACGUCCGUCGUGAAGAGGGAAACAACCCAGACCGCCAGCUAAGGUCCCAAAGUCAUGGUUAAGUGGGAAACGAUGUGGGAAGGCCCAGACAGCCAGGAUGUUGGCUUAGAAGCAGCCAUCAUUUAAAGAAAGCGUAAUAGCUCACUGGUCGAGUCGGCCUGCGCGGAAGAUGUAACGGGGCUAAACCAUGCACCGAAGCUGCGGCAGCGACACUAUGUGUUGUUGGGUAGGGGAGCGUUCUGUAAGCCUGUGAAGGUGGCCUGUGAGGGUUGCUGGAGGUAUCAGAAGUGCGAAUGCUGACAUAAGUAACGAUAAAGCGGGUGAAAAGCCCGCUCGCCGGAAGACCAAGGGUUCCUGUCCAACGUUAAUCGGGGCAGGGUGAGUCGACCCCUAAGGCGAGGCCGAAAGGCGUAGUCGAUGGGAAACAGGUUAAUAUUCCUGUACUUGGUGUUACUGCGAAGGGGGGACGGAGAAGGCUAUGUUGGCCGGGCGACGGUUGUCCCGGUUUAAGCGUGUAGGCUGGUUUUCCAGGCAAAUCCGGAAAACCAAGGCUGAGGCGUGAUGACGAGGCACUACGGUGCUGAAGCGACAAAUGCCCUGCUUCCAGGAAAAGCCUCUAAGCAUCAGGUAACAUCAAAUCGUACCCAAAACCGACACAGGUGGUCAGGUAGAGAAUACCAAGGCGCUUGAGAGAACUCGGGUGAAGGAACUAGGCAAAAUGGUGCCGUAACUUCGGGAGAAGGCACGCUGAUAUGUAGGUGAAGCGACUUGCUCGUGGAGCUGAAAUCAGUCGAAGAUACCAGCUGGCUGCAACUGUUUAUUAAAAACACAGCACUGUGCAAACACGAAAGUGGACGUAUACGGUGUGACGCCUGCCCGGUGCCGGAAGGUUAAUUGAUGGGGUUAGCGGUAACGCGAAGCUCUUGAUCGAAGCCCCGGUAAACGGCGGCCGUAACUAUAACGGUCCUAAGGUAGCGAAAUUCCUUGUCGGGUAAGUUCCGACCUGCACGAAUGGCGUAAUGAUGGCCAGGCUGUCUCCACCCGAGACUCAGUGAAAUUGAACUCGCUGUGAAGAUGCAGUGUACCCGCGGCAAGACGGAAAGACCCCGUGAACCUUUACUAUAGCUUGACACUGAACAUUGAGCCUUGAUGUGUAGGAUAGGUGGGAGGCUUUGAAGUGUGGACGCCAGUCUGCAUGGAGCCGACCUUGAAAUACCACCCUUUAAUGUUUGAUGUUCUAACGUUGGCCCGUAAUCCGGGUUGCGGACAGUGUCUGGUGGGUAGUUUGACUGGGGCGGUCUCCUCCUAAAGAGUAACGGAGGAGCACGAAGGUUGGCUAAUCCUGGUCGGACAUCAGGAGGUUAGUGCAAUGGCAUAAGCCAGCUUGACUGCGAGCGUGACGGCGCGAGCAGGUGCGAAAGCAGGUCAUAGUGAUCCGGUGGUUCUGAAUGGAAGGGCCAUCGCUCAACGGAUAAAAGGUACUCCGGGGAUAACAGGCUGAUACCGCCCAAGAGUUCAUAUCGACGGCGGUGUUUGGCACCUCGAUGUCGGCUCAUCACAUCCUGGGGCUGAAGUAGGUCCCAAGGGUAUGGCUGUUCGCCAUUUAAAGUGGUACGCGAGCUGGGUUUAGAACGUCGUGAGACAGUUCGGUCCCUAUCUGCCGUGGGCGCUGGAGAACUGAGGGGGGCUGCUCCUAGUACGAGAGGACCGGAGUGGACGCAUCACUGGUGUUCGGGUUGUCAUGCCAAUGGCACUGCCCGGUAGCUAAAUGCGGAAGAGAUAAGUGCUGAAAGCAUCUAAGCACGAAACUUGCCCCGAGAUGAGUUCUCCCUGACUCCUUGAGGGUCCUGAAGGAACGUUGAAGACGACGACGUUGAUAGGCCGGGUGUGUAAGCGCAGCGAUGCGUUGAGCUAACCGGUACUAAUGAACCGUGAGGCUUAACCUU
rnacentral:rRNA from 2 species